GGAAGAGUCAGUUCUUGGUCACAGAUCUGGAGAGGAUCAGGAAGAGCGAUUAAGAUCAAUGCCAUAUGUCAAAGAGGCUGGACCCUCCUUGCAGACUGGCUGAUCAGCAGCACCAACAUCAUGUGCGAGCUUCUGAGAAAUGCAGCUUGUUGGGCCCUUCCUCGAAUCUACUGAAUCAGAAUGGGUGUUUUACAAAGAUCCUCACCUCAUUCAGAUGCACACUGAAGUUUGACCAUUGUUAUGUUACCUUAUUCAGACUUCACAACAUCCCGAUGGGGCUCUCAGCUCUGGGCCUCAGGCCUCAAGUCCACAGCAGAUGCCUGAUGCGAUCCCUCGCAGUACGUGCGCACUUACGUGUAAAGCGUCUUAGUGAAGAAAGGUGGCCCAGACUGUAUUCACUUGCAUUUCCUUCCUCAUCACAUCAGUGCACCACACACAUUUUGAGAAGGAAAUCAAUAAAAAAUGUUUUCCCAU
ensembl:lncRNA